AUUCAUUCGUCAAACAAAACCGCCGAUGAAAACCCUAGCCGCUCGCCCGUGCCUCCUCUCUUCCCCUCCCGAACAGAGAGCUCUCGGGUGGAGAGGCUCAACCCGCGUCCAUCACACUCCGGCGGCGCCGCAGCCUUCCCUAACCCUAGAUCGACGGGGCCGCUGCCAUCUCAUCUCCUCUUCCAGAAAGCGGGAGUAAAAGUGAAGACCACGAUGGGAUGCUACUCUGUCGGUGAUCAAGGACGGGAAAAAAAGGCUGUUUGAUGUGUGGAUGGAUUUGAAUGGGACGGACGCAUCACGGCUGAAGGAUGUUCGCCACAACUUAAAAGGAGGUCAAUCAUGUUUAAAUUGCCUUUCUAAAUUGGCUUUCACAUGCAGCAGCACCAUAGGAAUUAGUCCUCAACCAAGACUUGUCUGACCUAUGACGACAACAAUGUGUCAGGACAAAGCAUUUUUUGAUUGGACCAAACGAUGACUUUUUCAAUUUUUCUGUAAGUAUCUUGGACAUGCAGAUCAUCAUCCGUAAAGCUUAGCAUUUGUAAUACUAUGUUUGGAGUGCAUCCUCUCUCACUAAUAAUACCCAAUAAGUGACAGACUUCGAAUAUUUACUCGAGUGAGUACCAAGGAGGCGAGAAGCACAACUCGGGUCAUGCGUGAGAAGUAGGAGGGUAUCGGUCAUCUGAAAUUGAUGUCAAAUGUUGCUAUCAUGAUACAAAUGUAUUACAAAUGUGGUGAUGCUGCUCUCCUCCCGCCGUCACGACAUGGAAGCCGGCCUGCUGAUGCUGCUCUCCUCCCGUGUCGGGGACGACGGGCUGUUGCUGCUGCACGCCGGUGAAUAUCGGCGAUCGAGUACUCACCGGUGAGGGCAAGGAUAGGAGGCAGCGGGUUCAAGAGGGAGCCUAGGGGAUCUCUUGCCACAUGACUGAUAGUCCACAUGGAACAUGUAGCUAUACAUUUGUUCCUUGGAGGUGCAAGGAUCAUCAAAUCUCCUUAUUAAUGUGCUUCCAUACCUGGCAGACAGGGCUAACCAUUUUUAAGUUAGUCGUUGCUUCACUCUGACAUUUUUUGUUUGGUUCCAUUUGUUUGUACAGUAGGUUCUUGUGGAGUUGGCCGAGCUCUAGGACAGGGUCAAGUUGCUCAAGGUAUAAUGGAUGGAGCUUUAAUUCCAGUGCAGAUUGGAGACGACGGCAACCACAACGUUUCAUGCAUGGCUCUUGGCCAGUGAGCAUUGUUCUAUUUUGUGUGUCUUGGGCUCUGAGCAUAAACUUCGCAAAUCACUAUCUGAUUAGAAGCAGCAUGGCAUAGAUGGGUGCUAGGAGAUGAAGGUGAGAGAGAAUUGUAAGCACUUCAAUGAACCUUACUGUAAGCACAGAAGCAAAGCCAGCGCUCAGCCCUCACACGCCAUGUGAGCCUCUCAAGAUUAACCUUUCUAUAAGCACAAUUACGAAAGCACUUCAUCUGAUAUGCCAAAAUAAUGCACACUUAUUGUUAGCCCGAUCUUUAGCUUAUAUAAAUUAAAUUCAUAGUAACUUCCAAAAUUUUAUUGUCGUGAUUGUAUGUUCACAGAGAACCAUCGACAAAAUGGUUUACUGAUGGUGUUAGUAAAGUGUUUUGAUUUCUUCAGAAUAUUGUUGUGCUUUAAAUUCUUUGUUCCUGAAUGAUAUCAUACUGAAGCCAAAAAUUUCUGAACUUUGUGAUCUGGCCUACCAUGAUUUGACAUCCUCCGUGUUUUAGAUGAGCAGUAGCAUUAUACAUUUUAUUUUUCGCGAUAUGGAGUAAGUAGGAAACAAGUUAACAUUACUUUUGCUUAGGAGAUGGCCAACGAAAAUCAUAAGCAAAAAAUCUAAAGUACUGUAGUGAUUGUUUGUACUUCCUUCUGAGCCUUGUAGUUGUGCUGUUCCAUUCCUAAUACAUAAAGAAGGCAAUAUUCAAAUCUAUCAAAAGUUUUACUACAAUUUGAGCUUUUUUUAUAAAGUAUUUAAUGGAACAUACGGGUAGUUCAUUCUUGGUCAAAAGAUCAUUUUCCCCUUACCAAAUUAGCUCUUAGUGCCUUUUGUUUCUAUUGGUAAGUUGCUAGAAAUGUGCAAGAUGAUUUCUGUAAUUUGAUUCUCAGUCCCAUUCUUAUAGAAAUUGUAAGUCGUUUCAACUUCACAUCUUGAUGGUAAUAUUAUCUAGCAUAUUUUUGGCCUGGGUUAACUGUGUUCUUACAUUCAAAUAAGGAACAGUGUUGAGCUGAAACCCGGAGGAAAUAAAGAAUCGCAUUGAACCUCAUUGUCCUAGGUUAGUUGUAUUUGUGGUUGGUGCCAUUAUUCUCCAGUGUAUAUACUUAUUUUCCUGCUAAAAUUUGACAUCAAUUGUGGAUGACCGAUACCCUUAUGAUUUGUAUAAUCUUACCUUCACGCAAAAAUACUUUCAAGACAUAUUGUUAUCUUCCGAUAAACUUAUGCACUAACAUUUAUAAGAUAUGCAUCUACAUUGGCAUUUACAUUUGUAGGAAGUGUUGCUUAAGAGUUUAGUUGUUAUUUAUAGGUGCAAGCAUCCUUAUAUGAUCGUUGCUAGGAAGAUUCUGGUACAAUCUAGGCAUUCUAUAACGCAAUUUUGGGAAUUUCUAAAAAGGAAAAAAACAGAAUUUCAGGUUUUCUUUUGUUUCUGCUUGUUGCGGUAGAAUAUUAUGAAAUUGCAUGCAUUUGAACUGUUCGAAUUGCUCCCUGUUGAUUAAAUGUAUACCUUGAAUAUUAAUAAAUUUCUGAUGGUUUCUUUGGUUCAGUAAGAUGAAUUCGAAACAUCUUAAUAUGAAAGGCCUUGAGUUGUAUGUGCAUCAUGAAAAGGGCUCCACCGCUCCAUUCUGUUUUGUAGUUGUUAGUUUUGAAGUUGUGAUGUAUGGAAUAUUGAGUUCUGUAGGCUAUGGUUGCCAGGGGUAAUUUGGGAGCUGAACUUCUUAUUAAUGUACCACUACUGCAUGUAUGUUGUAAUUGCUCAUGUUGCUCAUUGCAAAUGCUUACUUCUCUGCUUUGCUAUUGUUUAAGCCACAACUUACAAAAUUGAGUGUGAAGUAUAAUAGCCAACACCCAAUGUUAUAUAUGUAGUUUACAAAUUGCUUGGAGAAAAAUAUUUACUAACAGAGUGUCGCUUUGCACUCACUUGUAUAUGCAUGGCAUCUAGGCAGAUUUCCAGUUUGAAAUCUAUAGCUGAAGUUUCUGGGUUUUCAUCCAAUUUAGCUCCUUCAAAUAGUUUUCCGGUCCUCAUGAGUUGCCACAUGAAAUUUUAAAUUUUUCCAUAAGUAAAGCAGACCCCUAAGAUUGAGAUCUAUAGCUGAAGUUUCUGGGUUUUCAUUCAAUUCGCACAUGAUUAGGAAGAAGUAGAGCAAAUUUAGAAGUUGUUGCUUAUACUCAUCUCUAAGUAAAGCAGACUCCUAAGAUUGAGAAAAUAUAUGCAUGCCUGCUGGCACGGUAUGGGGUCAUAGCUGGUGCAGGAUAGGUUUUUUCUGCUUGAAUCACAUUUGCUUGAAUCUAGGAUGGAUACACUAUCAAAUAUAUCUGUGAAACAAGAUAUUUUUUCCGCUUUCUUUAACCAGGCUUGGUUUUCCAGUAAUGAAACCCCUCCGAGUUGAGGCAUUCAAAAAAUGGACAUUGUUGCUAUGUUAUCUGCUGGUUAUCCCUGGUCCUUUUACAACCUUGAGAAAGGCUUGAGAACGAGACAUGAGAAAUUUAGUCUUUUAUGCUUCUGAGGCCAAACUCUUGGGUCACCAGAGGAAACAUUAACAAGAGAGCCUAUGGAUGUUGCUUGAGAAGGUUGUAUUGAGAGCUGUCCGAGAACUUCUAUACUGAUCAUGCUUAAGAGAGUUGGAAGUUUGUGUCAAGGCUUUAAAUUUUCUUUAAUAAGAUGUUCUAUGUAUGGUAAAUCAGAAGUACUGCUAUCCAUGUGAAAGACACUCCCAUUUCGCCUUCCCUGUUGACGUGUGCUUGAUCAAACACUGCUAUGAGGAGCUUAUAAAAGGCCUAUUUUGGAACGGAGAUUGGGAUAACAACAGCAAGAUAUGUAUAUAUGGAAGACAGCAUUAGUUCAAAACUCAAUCCAGUUAUCCUCGCGAAUUUCUUUCAUACUUCAAGUCACCGUGUCCUAGAUUAGUUAAGGGUUCGGUGAAGCAUUCUUUAUGAUUUUAUUUCCAUGUAACUGUUGUCGCCUAUGUAAGUGAACACAAUCUAGAGUGUUUACGGUGCAAAUGGAGGUAAGCAUAUCAAAUAAAGAAAAGUAACCAUGCAGCUGCUUGUA